rnacentral:rRNA from 1 species
CAGCGCCACGAGUGGUGAUCGCUUUUAUUGGGCCUAAAGCAUCCGUAGCCGGCGCUGUAAGUUUUCGGUUAAAUCUGUACGCUCAACGUACAGGCUGCCGGGAAUACUGCAGCGCUAGGGAGUGGGAGAGGUAGACGGUACUCGGUAGGAAGGGGUAAAAUCCUUUGAUCUAUUGAUGACCACCUGUGGCGAAGGCGGUCUACCAGAACACGUCCGACGGUGAGGGAUGAAAGCUGGGGGAGCAAACCGGAUUAGAUACCCGAGUAGUCC